rnacentral:rRNA from 1 species
GAUGAACGCUGGCGGCGUGCCUAAUACAUGCAAGUCGAGCGAACGGACGAGAAGCUUGCUUUUCUGAUGUUAGCGGCGGACGGGUGAGUAACACGUGGAUAACCUACCUAUAAGACUGGGAUAACUUCGGGAAACCGGAGCUAAUACCGGAUAAUAUUUUGAACCGCAUGGUUCAAAAGUGAAAGACGGUCUUGCUGCCACUUAUAGAUGGAUCCGCGCUGCAUUAGAUAGUUGGUAAGGUAACGGCUUACCAAGGCAACGAUGCAUAGCCGACCUGAGAGGGUGAUCGGCCACACUGGAACUGAGACACGGUCCAGACUCCUACGGGAGGCAGCAGUAGGGAAUCUUCCGCAAUGGGCGAAAGCCUGACGGAGCAACGCCGCGUGAGUGAUGAAGGUCUUCGGAUCGUAAAACUCUGUUAUUAGGGAAGAACAUAUGUGUAAGUAACUGUGCACAUCUUGACGGUACCUAAUCAGAAAGCCACGGCUAACUACGUG